rnacentral:rRNA from 1 species
CAGUAGCCGCGGUAAUACGGAGGGUGCAAGCGUUAUCCGGAUUUAUUGGGUUUAAAGGGUCCGUAGGCGGACUUAUAAGUCAGUGGUGAAAGCCUGUCGCUUAACGAUAGAACUGCCAUUGAUACUGUAAGUCUUGAGUAUAUUUGAGGUAGCUGGAAUAAGUAGUGUAGCGGUGAAAUGCAUAGAUAUUACUUAGAACACCAAUUGCGAAGGCAGGUUACCAAGAUAUAACUGACGCUGAGGGACGAAAGCGUGGGUAGCGAACAGGAUUAGAGACCCGCGUAGUCCCUGUCUCUUAUAC